AUUGAACGCUGGCGGCAGGCCUAACACAUGCAAGUCGAGCGGUAGCACAGAGAGCUUGCUCUCGGGUGACGAGCGGCGGACGGGUGAGUAAUGUCUGGGAAACUGCCUGAUGGAGGGGGAUAACUACUGGAAACGGUAGCUAAUACCGCAUAAUGUCGCAAGACCAAAGUGGGGGACCUUCGGGCCUCAUGCCAUCAGAUGUGCCCAGAUGGGAUUAGCUAGUGGGUGGGGUAACGGCUCACCUAGGCGACGAUCCCUAGCUGGUCUGAGAGGAUGACCAGCCACACUGGAACUGAGACACGGUCCAGACUCCUACGGGAGGCAGCAGUGGGGAAUAUUGCACAAUGGGCGCAAGCCUGAUGCAGCCAUGCCGCGUGUGUGAAGAAGGCCUUCGGGUUGUAAAGCACUUUCAGCGGGGAGGAAGGCGUUAAGGUUAAUAACCUUGGCGAUUGACGUUACCCGCAGAAGAAGCACCGGCUAACUCCGUGCCAGCAGCCGCGGUAAUACGGAGGGUGCAAGCGUUAAUCGGAAUUACUGGGCGUAAAGCGCACGCAGGCGGUCUGUCAAGUCGGAUGUGAAAUCCCCGGGCUCAACCUGGGAACUGCAUUCGAAACUGGCAGGCUAGAGUCUUGUAGAGGGGGGUAGAAUUCCAGGUGUAGCGGUGAAAUGCGUAGAGAUCUGGAGGAAUACCGGUGGCGAAGGCGGCCCCCUGGACAAAGACUGACGCUCAGGUGCGAAAGCGUGGGGAGCAAACAGGAUUAGAUACCCUGGUAGUCCACGCCGUAAACGAUGUCGAUUUGGAGGUUGUGCCCUUGAGGCGUGGCUUCCGGAGCUAACGCGUUAAAUCGACCGCCUGGGGAGUACGGCCGCAAGGUUAAAGCUCAAAUGAAUUGACGGGGGCCCGCACAAGCGGUGGAGCAUGUGGUUUAAUUCGAUGCAACGCGAAGAACCUUACCUGGUCUUGACAUCCACAGAACUUUCCAGAGAUGGAUUGGUGCCUUCGGGAACUGUGAGACAGGUGCUGCAUGGCUGUCGUCAGCUCGUGUUGUGAAAUGUUGGGUUAAGUCCCGCAACGAGCGCAACCCUUAUCCUUUGUUGCCAGCGGUUAGGCCGGGAACUCAAAGGAGACUGCCAGUGAUAAACUGGAGGAAGGUGGGGAUGACGUCAAGUCAUCAUGGCCCUUACGACCAGGGCUACACACGUGCUACAAUGGCAUAUACAAAGAGAAGCGACCUCGCGAGAGCAAGCGGACCUCAUAAAGUAUGUCGUAGUCCGGAUUGGAGUCUGCAACUCGACUCCAUGAGGUCGGAAUCGCUAGUAAUCGUAGAUCAGAAUGCUACGGUGAAUACGUUCCCGGGCCUUGUACACACCGCCCGUCACACCAUGGGAGUGGGUUGCAAAAGAAGUAGGUAGCUUAACCUUCGGGAGGGCGCUUACCACUUUGUGAUUCAUGACUGGGGUGA
rnacentral:rRNA from 1 species